rnacentral:antisense_RNA from 1 species
AGGGGAUAAUCUGUCCUCGGGUAAAGCUCAUCUCUCCAGAUUACAGCAAGGAUGGGAAUCUGAAGCCCACCACAUCCUUCUUUCCAAGUCAAAGAACGUAACACUGAGAGGGCUCUGAGCGCCAGCAUGUGCAGAGUCAGAACCUCCCACUGACAGCCAGAACGAGGAGCCACUCCCGAAGAGCUGCUCCUACUCAGGACCAAUGCCACGCUCCAGGAUUCCCCACCUCCCGUGGAACCAGUGGGAGCAUGUGGCAGGCCAGGAGCUGUGGAUCUUUAAAGGCUCUGGACUCAUGGCGAACACACAUCCCCAGAAAGAGCCCAGCUCCCACUCAGGCAUCACAGAUAUGUCUGCUAUUGCCUGAAAGCCCGUGGAGAAAUCCCACACCCCGGGGAUUUCUUAAACCUUCGAUUAACUGGGAUGCUAUCCUGUACUUCAAAGAAAGAGGAAUAUCCAAGUAACAACGCAAGCUCAUCCGCAGAACCAGGCCAGCUGCAGCUCUCAGGAGGUAGCCACACCCGGGCUAGUGCCACAGGCAGCUGCACCAAAGGUGUAUGAGCGGUCACAUGAUAACCUGAACGCUGAGGCCCAAGGACUGGCAGGUGCUCAGGUGUCGAAACCCCAGAAUCCCAUUACCAGGCUCUGUUCUCUGAAGGAACAGUCAAUCUUGAAGAUCUUCACUAAGCAGAGCAUCUGAGAUUUACUGGCCUGAAGACCCAGCAAACUAAGAGUUCAGCAAAACAGAACAGCCUCUCUGGAGGGCACCCGUGCCUCUGCCGGUGCUGGAGCCUGCGGGUCCCUCGUCUAUGAGCUUCCCCAGAAACUCUCCAAUCUCAUCCACGCAGCUGCCAGAAUGAAUGUUCAAAGACAAGAACCUGAGCACAGUGGCGGGGGGUUUCGCACGCCCCUGGGACUCGACCCCAAGCUUCUCCUUCUCAGCACUGCAGCCCAAGCCACCCUGCCCUUCCUCCCAAUGCCACUACUUGUCACUGCACCUUGGAUUCCAGGCCGGCCCUCCUGCUGCCCUCUCUGAAUGCCCGGCCUCAACCUAGCUCCUCCUCAUCCCACGAGACAUGGCUAAAACGUCACCUCACCCUGGAGGCCUCCCCCUGACCCCUAUGAGGGGACAGGUCCUUACAGCAGCCCAGGCUUCCUCUUGAUAAUGUGAAUGUUAAUUAAUUUAAUUAAGACUUUAAAUUACUCAUCUAAAAUCUGUCUUCCGUGCUACAACCACAAACUCCAAGAGGGCGGGGAUCAGGCUUUCCUUGUUCUCCUGCCCCGCUCCCACAGCACAGGGCCAGGAGAUGCUCCGUCGACACUGGCUGCAUUGAACUGAAAUCAUCUCCCCACCCCAGCGCUCUGCACCACACCCAGCACCAGGGCAGGUGCUCCACGAAGGGCUGCGUGAAUGACUCAACUGCAGCCCCAUAAGGAAGCUGGAUAGCACACCACGCAAGUUAAACGCUUCUUUACAACAUUAUGAAAGACGGACUUGGACUAUACUAAUGAACAUUCCUCAAACCUAGGAAGCUAGAUCUAAAAAGGACUACAAAUGCAAUAAUCACAUGUGAAAUCCGAGACCAAACUUCUUUUUUUUUUUUUUUUUUUCCCGAGAUGGAGUCUCAUUCUGUCAUCCAGGCUGGAGUACAGUGGCACGAUCUCGGCUCACUGCAACCUCCGCCUCCCAGUCUCAAGCGAUUCUCCUGCCUCAGCCUCCCGAGUAGCUAGAACUACAGGUGCAUGCCACCACGCCCAGCUAAUUUUUUGUAUUUUUAGUAGAGACGGGGUUUCACCAUGUUAGCCAGGGUGGUCUCAAACUCCUGACCUCGUGAUUCAUCCACAUCAACCUCCUUAAGUGCUCGGAUUACAGGCAUGAGCCACAGCGCCUGGCCCAAACAUUUUUAUAUGUCCACUUAAUAGUUGACUGACAGAAAUAAAUGGUAUGUUUUACACA